GGAAGUUCGAGACCAGCCUGACCAACAUGGAGAAACCCUGUGUCUACUAAAAAUACAAAAUUAGCCGGUUGUGGUGGUUCAUGCCUGUAAUCCCAGCUACUCGGGAGGCUGAGGCAGGAGAAUCGCUUGAAACCGGGAGGUGGAAGUUGCUGUGAGCCAAGAUGGCGUCAUUGUACUCCCGCCUGGGCAACAGGAGCGAAACUCCAUCUCAAAAACAAACAAGCAAACAAAACCAAAGAGGUUGGAGCCUGAAGAUGGGACCGAAUUGCUACAACCUCAUGACCAAACCUGAAUGUAUGAGAAGUUGCUUCUUAUGGCUGAGCAGGAUGAUGGAGCAGGAUGAGGAACUGAAGCUUCUCUGGAGUGGAAGAUAAGGUCUUUGGAGAUAAAUGCAAGGGCACCAAGAGACGGGUGGCAGUAGGAGUGCUGAGUUUAUGUGAGACAAUGGUGGGAGAAAAGGACUCUGAGGCAGGUUUCCUCAUCCUGAGCGGGUGGGAAAGCCCAGGAAAGGAUGGGCCUCUGCCCCCAGUAGGAGGUGAAGAGGGUGGUAGGGAUGAAUGGGAUGGAAAUCAAAGGUCCAAUGGAAUGGGAGUCAAAGGCUUCCUAGAGAGGCUGAAGCAUAAAUAAGCAUCUGGAGGAGCAAUGAAGCUUCUGCAAGGAGAACUCCAACUCCAUCUCUGGAUCCAGGGCUGUGGGCAAGGAACCUGAGCAUCUACAGGUCCUGGAGAAUAUCAAAAGACUUUGGUAUUCACACAGCAUUCGUGUUGGAGAUUGAAGGUCACUUUCUGACUGCUGACAAGUGGCCAGGUCAAAGUGCCAAGGAUCCCAAGUCUCUGAGAUGGAUCUUUAUGUGAAGCAACUACAAUCACAGAGCUUCUGGAUUCCUCUCACUAUUUGUUCUUACUACAGAGGGGCUGUCAUGGAGUAGUUUUCUUCUUUUCAAGCACCUGAGUGAGCUUAAGAAGUGGGUGAAGGGUGUUUGGCAGCCAGGCUUUGCUCUUUCACAGCCCUCCAUGGUAGACAGGUCAAGCGGACCUUGCUCCCACGAUUUUUAAAAUUGUGAUCCUAUGUCCCUCUUGAACCAGUUCUUAGCUAAAUGGUUAGCAUAUUCCUGGUGCAAGGUGCAUGUUCACUGAAUGCUUGUUUUGCUGGUUAAAACAGACUUAACAUCAAAUCAUUUUAGGACAUUUAAAAGUACUGAAUUAUUUAUCUGAAAGAAGAAGGAGCUUAAUAUUUGCAUAAGAGAAGGACAAAAAAUGGUCCAGAAGUAUGUCAAAGAGCCGUGGCAGAAUCAUCACUCUUUUUUAAGGCACUAUCUGGUUUAUGAAUCUUCUGUGUCUGUUGGGGUGGAGGAGUUGGGCAGACACACAGGGCUUUUAGCUAAGAGUGACCUCUGCCUGGUCUCCUGAUCAGGCCAUUCACUCUCCCAGGCUCUUGUAUUUUGCUUUACCCUCCCUAUUUGCACCUUCUACACACAUGAUUUUGGAUUUUAAGAUCUGAUUUUCCACAUACUUUGAAUUUGUGUGGUUCAAAAGUUUAUGACUUUUUGACCAAAUUUGGAAAUUGAAUAGAUAAUCUUGCCUAUCCUACCACUUUGUAAACUUAUUAAUUACCUUGAUCUUCCAUGUUAGGCAUAUUUAAUGUAUUUUUAAUCACUUAGUAGAAUUGUCUAAUACAGAAAAAUAAAAAGAAGA
rnacentral:lncRNA from 10 species